GAUGAAGAACGCAGCGAAAUGCGAUAAGUAAUGCGAAUUGCAGAAUUUCCGUGAGUCAUCGAAUCUUUGAACGCACAUUGCGCCCUUUGGUAUUCCUUAGGGCAUGCCUGUUCGAGCGUCAUUUGAAACCUCAAGCUCAGCUUGGUGUUGGGUGUCUGUCCCCGCCUCACCGCGGGGACUCGCCUCAAAAUCAUUGGCGGCCGGUACGUUGGCUUCGAGCGCAGCAGAAACGCGAACUCGAGGCCCGGCGGAUCGGCGACCAGAAGUCACUUCUUCACAGUUUGACCUCGGAUCAGGUAGGGAUACCCGCUGAACUUAAGCAUAUCAAUAAGCGGAGGA
rnacentral:misc_RNA from 1 species